rnacentral:rRNA from 1 species
CAAGGUUAAGAGCCUUGGGGGAGGACGUUACCCAAAGAAUAAGCACCGGCUAACUCCGUGCCAGCAGCCGCGGUAAGACGGGGGGUGCAAGCGUUAAUCGGAAUUACUGGGCGUAAAGGGUCUGUAGGUGGUUUGUUAAGUAAGAUGUGAAAGCCCAGGGCUCAACCUUGGAACUGCAUUUGAUACUGGCAAACUAUAGUACGGUAGAUGAAUGGGGAAUUUCUGGUGUAGCGGUGAAAUGCGUAUAGAUCAGAAGGA